GAGCAGCGGGCAAGGGGCUAAGGGGAGGGGGGCCCAGUGCCAGCUGUUUAAAAGUACCCCUGUGGCAGUGGCAGUGAGGGGUGCCAGAGGCCCAGUGAAGUUAGUUGAGAAGCAGUGAUACCUCCAACCAUCCCCCAAACGGGCUGGCCCACAUCUCCAGGCCACAGGAGCCACACCUGCAUGGACCCCGAGAGAGGCAAGGGCACUGGCUGGUGGGAGCUACCCCUUUUCAACCCUCACGCUGACACAGCAAACACCCCAGAGAAGGGCCUCCUGAGGACCUGAGGAGGGCAGGAGGCGGGUUCCCUGGACACAGAACUCCUCCCCAGAGCUUCCCAACAGAAGACACAGGCUGCCCCCCGGGGCCAAGCGACAUUUCCUGAAGACAGUGGGGAACAGGGAAGGAGAAACAGUCCAUCCUCCGGGAGUAGGAGGAUGUGGACAGCCAGCACCAGGUAAGAUUCUGCCAGGUAAGACUGUGAGGCCACCUGUUCGACUGACUCUUUUGAUGGAAUGGGAAACAGGGAGAUAGUAAGACAUGCUUGUGAGAAGGGAUCACACCACUUGAGUCUCCCUAGUGGGACCCAUCUCCUGACUGGGGACCCAGAGCAAGGAGGGGCCUCUUGUGGGGUAAGUGGAACAGGAGAGCUAUAGACCCCCUUCUCAGUGAGACCUCAUUUGAAAGAGAAAUGGGGUCAAGGUCAGCUCUGUCUGCCUCCCAGCAAGGAUGCAAAACUCAAGGGAGGAUUUCCUGGAGCCAGAAAGCCAGCAGAAUGACACCUUUCCUGCACCUCUGCCCUCCUCCCAGUCCAGCUGCACCACCUUCUUCUCCAGGAAGCCCUCCUAGCUCCCCCAGGGAGGAGGAACCUAAGCCCUCAGCAGUCUUCUCUGGGCUCUCUCUUAGGCCACUUGGGUCUGUCCCCUAUUCAACUCGCCACGGGCAUUUAUCCUUCCAUCUCGGCCUGACUGCGCUCCUCCAGGGUAAGGACCAUAUCAGAUGCAGGCCUGUACCCUCGGCACAUAGAAGACACAUUUGGUUUGCUAAAUGGAUGGAUGAAAUGGUUAGACCCUGUCCUCAACCCUGACAGACUGGUAUAGUGGUCAGGGGAGGAGAUGUUCAGCACGGAGGUUGAAAGUCAUGAUCCUGAGGUGGCCGUUCUGAUAGGAACCCAAGCUGGGCUCCUAGCUCUGUGCCCUUAGAAAAUCCCCUUCUCACGGAACUUUGGGAUGCACAGGGAUUAGCACAAUGAAAACAUUCAAAACAUGACCGUUCUUUUUAUCAUCAGCGUCACUAUGGUCUUUCUGGAGACAAAGGAACAGAACCAGGCAGCCUAUAGCCACAGAGGAUACGGAAGCAAAUACCUUCCCCUGGUCAAAGGCCUCAACCUCUGGCCCUGCGUCAGAGUUUCCCACAGGAGCGUGGGACUGCCUCCCAUCCAUUUCCUGUCUCUACACCCAGGAGAGCUGCUAUCUUUGCGGCAAUACUCUGAGCCCAACGGGGUGUGCUGGAAAUAGCCGCCAAUUCCCCUAGUACAAGCAGGGCUGUGACCCUGGAACCGUCUCCUCCCCUUCCUGGCUCGCCAUGUGCAGUGAUAAGGCUCCCCUGACCACCGCACAGCUGUUUUGCAGAUUAAGCGUGGUGGGGUGGUUUUUCAAACGGCAGGCACUCAGAUGCCACCCCCCUUUUUUUUUCAGAUGCCCCCUUUUUAAGUUUUGCCAUAUCUGCAAACAAUCAUAAGAUUUUAAAUUAAAGCUGUCUUUUUUAAUACCUAAAUAUAAAUAGGAAACUAAACUCUAUCCAUAAUUAGGAGAUAAUAAAGAUAAGAGACAGUAAAUAUGCAGCAGUGCUCUUACUCUUUCCCCUCGAGCUAUGGCUUGCAAGGCGCUGGACUUGAGGGAGAUAAACAGGAGCCUGAAAAGUGUCAGAGAUAGGAUAGCACCAAACUGAAGCUCUUUCCCCCACCCCGGGAAAACAGAAGGAGGACUGAAAGCAAACUGACAGGGAACAGCCUGGGUCACUGUGUUUUCCAAAGUCAGUGCUCUGGCCACAUAUGCAGCAAAAUUGCGAGAAGCCAAAAGUGGUCAGGUGAAAGAGCUUUGGAAAGAGUCCCGCACCGAGGAAUGCAGGGGGCUGGCCUAUCAGUGGCCUCCCAGCAGCAAAGGCUCACUUCUGGGGCACGACCCUCCCUGGCUUCUUACUUAAACCUCCACGUUGGUUAGGCUAGGCGUCUCCUCUUGCAGAGCGAGUGGGAGCAGUCUGAGAGUGGAGUAGACAGGCUGUGGGCUGUCCGGGACCCCCCAGGCUGGGUCCUGUUGUUGGAAUCACUCCCCAGCCAAAUGCAGUUUGUAAGAAGUUCCUACUCAUUAUUGAGGAAGGCAGUUCCUUGGGUGGGAAUACCUCAUAGAGGGGCUGACCUGCCCCAAGUGGCAGACCAAAGGAAAACACUCUGCUGUUUGGGGCCUGAUGUCAGAUUUCUGUCCGAGGCAUAAGAAAGUGGAAGUGAAAGUGAAGUUGCUCAGUCGUGUCUGACUCUUUGAGACCCCAUGGACUGUAGC